rnacentral:rRNA from 1 species
AUUGAACGCUGGCGGCAUGCCUAACACAUGCAAGUCGAACGGUAACAGGCCCUUCGGGGUGCUGACGAGUGGCGGAUGGGUGAGUAAUACUUAGGAAUCUACCCUGUAGUGGGGGACAACCCGGGGAAACUCGGGCUAAUACCGCAUACACUCUACGGAGGAAAGCGGGGGACCGCAAGGCCUCGCGCUAUUGGAUGAGCCUAAGCCCGAUUAGCUAGUUGGUGGGGUAAUAGCCUACCAAGGCAGUGAUCGGUAGCUGGUCUGAGAGGACGACCAGCCACACUGGGACUGAGACACGGCCCAGACUCCUACGGGAGGCAGCAGUGGGGAAUAUUGGACAAUGGGCGAAAGCCUGAUCCAGCGAUGCCGCGUGU